UGGGAUCGAUGUGCAGUGUCAGGUACUGUUUCUUUAUUUAAAAAUAUUUUGCUAGUUUCAAUCUUUGCAUAAUGGUUAUAUGGUUAUUAUUUUCUGAGAAUUCUUUAGAACUGAUGAGGUGUUCUGGGUAAGCUGAGUUUACAGCUCAUAUCUAAAUGACAAUGAAUAUUCAUAUUUCUGUUUACAUGGGAAAUUUGUAAAGGGUUUGCCUUAACAGAGCAGAUACUUUGAUUCUGCCCUGUUUUCAAUUUCUUCAGAAAGAAAGGGAAAUUGGUCUAUUCAAAACAUGAUUUGCUUAUUAGAAUUUCAGAUUGAUUUUAUUCGUUUCAUGUAUCUCUCUUAGAUCAAUGUAAGUGACUAGAAAAAGAAUGUCUUCAUCUAUGCAUGACUUAAAUGUGUUUCAAUUUUCUUUUGAUAUCUCAUAUCAAAUGAGAAAGAAUAUUAGUAUAUGCUUUUUACAUGAGAAAUUUGUUAAAAAAAUUAUUGCGUAUUUGGAUGACAAUCGAUGGAAAGAUGCCUAUAGGUACUCUGCUUAGGCCCUAUCUUUAUUCAAGAUUAACCUCUGGGAGAAACUAUUGUACACCUGAAGUAAUGGAUUGGUAGAAACAAGGCAGAUACUUUACCUUGUUCUGUUUUUACAAAAUCUAUGUUUCUUCGGUAAGAAAGGAAAGUUGGUCUAUUCAAAACCAGAUUUGCUUAUUAGAAUUUUGGAUUGAUUUUAUUCAUUUCUUUUAUCCAAGGCAAUAAUUUACACUUCAAACAUGAUUCUGAUGAUGGGAUUUCCUAAUUAUAGUGGUUAGAUAGGGGUCUAUCUUUUAUUCUUUCUUGGAUCAAUGUAAGAUACUACAAAGGGAAUGCCUUCAUUCACACGACUUAAUUGUAACUGAAUUGUGUUUCAGUUUUAUUUUGAGUGUUAGUUUGAUAUCAGUGCCCUACCUAUCAAAUACCUCAUAGUUGUUGGCCAUAGCAAAUGCAACCCACCAUAUUCUGAAAGGCCAUUGAUAUCAUAAUGAGCUCUUACAUGAUCGAAUGAUAUUAUGCAAAAUGCUAUAUAUAAUAAAAAUUUCUUUUUUUAUUUAUUAAUGGACAUCUUUGUUUUUCUUCUCCUUCUUUGGGAUGUCAUUAUUUUACCUAAAGAUUUCACCAAUGAUUAUUCCCUUUAUGUCAACUGCCAAGUGUGAAUGAUAUGGUAAGCAUAGAUGAAAUGAGUUGUGUAAUGAAAAGGCCAAAAAUAUAGGUUAUUGUUGUUG
rnacentral:misc_RNA from 1 species